rnacentral:rRNA from 1 species
CUACGGGGCGCAGCAGUGAGGAAUAUUGCACAAUGGGGGGAACCCUGAUGCAGCAACGCCGCGUGGAGGAUGACGCAUUUCGGUGUGUAAACUCCUUUUAUAUGUCGAGAAAAUGACGGUAGCAUAUGAAUAAGCACCGGCUAACUCCGUGCCAGCAGCCGCGGUAAUACGGAGGGUGCAAGCGUUACUCGGAAUCACUGGGCGUAAAGGACGCGUAGGCGGGUUGGAAAGUCAGGUGUGAAAUCCUACAGCUUAACUGUAGAACUGCACUUGAAACUUCUAAUCUAGAGUAUGGGAGGGGGGAAUGGAAUUAGUGGUGUAGGGGUAAAAUCCGUAGAUAUCACUAGGAAUACCUAAAGCGAAGGCGAUCUCCUGGAACAUUACUGACGCUAAGGCGUGAAAGCGUGGGGAGCAAACAGGAUUAGAUACCCUUGUAGUC